rnacentral:rRNA from 1 species
GACGAACGCUGGCGGCGUGCUUAACACAUGCAAGUCGAACGGUGAACCUGCUUCGGUGGGGGAUCAGUGGCGAACGGGUGAGUAACACGUGGGCAACCUGCCCUCAGCUCUGGGAUAACUCCAAGAAAUUGGGGCUAAUACCGGAUAUUUCCGCUGACCGCAUGGUCUGGUGGUCGGAAAGAUUCAUCGGCUGGGGAUGGGCCCGCGGCCUAUCAGCUUGUUGGUGGGGUAGUGGCCACCAAGGCGACGACGGGUAGCCGGCCUGAGAGGGUGACCGGCCACACUGGGACUGAGACACGGCCCAGACUCCUACGGGAGGCAGCAGUGGGGAAUAUUGCGCAAUGGGCGAAAGCCUGACGCAGCGACGCCGCGUGGGGAUGACGGCCU